UCCAGGGUAGCCUAGUGGUCAUGGCAUCUGCCCGGUAAGCGGAACAUUGUGGGUUCGAUUCCCAUCCCUGGAC